CUUUUUAUUUCCCUGCUGAAUCAAGUUUUUCUGCCUCCACUGGACUUCCUUUCUUUGGAAAAUACACUCAGUGGUAUUUUUCUGUAGGUUCUGGAUGUGUUUCUGGAGUUUCAGUGAGUUUCCCCACCCCUCCCUGUGGCGGUGCUGCCUGAGCCUCUCUCCAAGCGUCUGAUGGAGGCUUUGGGAAGAGCUUGGCUGCCUUUGCACCAGCGUCGAUCCCUCCCCAGCGACAACACCAAGUUUCACUCUGGAGCCUGAGCGACUGCAGAAGGUGGAGCUGAGGCUGUGCCCUCCUGGAUCCAGCCAAGAUGAAGCAGCACAAGGCAGCUCCAAGAUAAUGAUUUAUUUUUGGCCCAAACUCGGAAUACCUCUCAGGACACCUCAGCAAGGAGGGAGCAAAAGAACCAAUGCAUUAACUCUGAGAAGGGGCAGCAGAAGGAAAGCCUGGAGCUGGAACAUCCUUUGAGCAACAGCAAAGCAAGAGAAAGCAAAAACAUCCCUCUAAGAUGGCUGCAAACAGAAGCUUUCCUGGAGCCAUCCUUGACUCAGCCAAGGCCAGAUGGGACUUCUUCCUUCUUUGCAGAUCCUGAAGAUUAUAAAGCUUCAAUUUACUUUUCCACAACCAAAUGUUUAGUACCUGCUGGACUACAUUUUCCUUUGGUAUUUCUUUUUAGCAGCAGUCCCAAUCUUUAACCCACUGGUUCUUUUGGGUUGAGCCAAGGGUUCAUCUGAUCCACCUGGAAAUAUCAAGUUCCAGGACAUAAGAGCAUCACCUGCCUUCCUGACAAUUCCCAAAUUAAAUGCAGCACAGAAUCUUGGCUAUAUCUCAAAAAUAGGUGAUUUUUAUUUCCUUUAAUUUAAAGAGGAGGAGAGAAUACUUGUAGGAAAAAAAAAAAAAAAGAAAGAUGAGAAGGAAGAGAGAAGGUCAGUGAAUAUCCAGUACUGAUUUAGAAACAGGCUCUGCCAAGCAGGGGGAAAAGGAGCCUUUCCCAAUCCAUUCAGUUUAUGGUUAUUAGUAUUGAUAUUGUAUUUCUCUUGGCUCCCAAAAGGAAAAGUGGGGAAUGAAUCAGGAAAAAAAAAAUACUUUUCUGUAAAUAAUUUUUUUUUCCAAUUCAGAUGUUUUUUAGGAAACUAAUCUGGGGAGGGGGGAAAUCUGCUUCUCAAAUGUCAAGGACUUGAAAGACUAAAAAUACAUCACCGGAAUAAAUAAAUUAACCCAGAAGACA
rnacentral:lncRNA from 1 species